rnacentral:lncRNA from 1 species
CUUAACCUGCGGUCCUUUUCCCCCAGAGGAAAAAAGUUUUUUACCAAAUGCCCUGUUGCACCCCAUCAGAGCGGGAACUGGGUGCCCAGUAGAUGUGCUUCAGCUGGGGAAAGAGCACCGAAAGAGUUGAUGAGACUGCUCCAGCCUUCUGCAUCUGGAGCUUGCUCAUCACUACACCACCAGACUGCAGUGCUCUUGCAGACCUUUCAGGAAAUUGGGUCUAACUCAGCUGUGUCAAAUCCUUCACCAUCUGUCACCCAGUCCUCACCAUGAUUGAAUGCUGCCAGGCUGGAGCUUGCUCGUUUGUCUCCAUUAGGUAUGUAUAUCAAGUGGGUUUGCUCCUUCCUGUGAGGGUAGACGCUCUGUAUGCUGUUGGAUUUGAGUGGAAACUUUGCUUCUUGUGAGUGGGAAUUGUUAAUGAUAAAUGAGCUGGAGAGGAGAAGUUUGAUGGAGAUGGGAAGAGGUAUAACUUAUCUGAGGAAGGAAUAAGAUUCUCCUACAAGGCUUGUAAUCAUCAUUCUGAACGCUGUACUCCAAACCAAAGCACUUUGCUGUCUCACUCUGACAUCAAAUGAGAGCGAUUGCUCUCCUGCUGAAGUGAAAGCAUUGCUAAGCAGCACCAGGGCAGCAGUUACAAAAGUAAAGGCAGAGAUUUCCCUGCUGGUGCUGUGAGAAGGUGGCGAUGGGUCCUUAAGGAACCAGGCUCGACCCUGCGCAGGGGUGUUUGGAUACAUAUCUGCCUGAACCUGAAGCCAGAACACUAUCCAGCCUCAGAUGCAGCUCAGAAUUUAGGUGAUGCUUCGGUGCUCAUGACACACAGCUCUGCUGAGCCUGGCAGCCUCAGGUGAAGGUGCUUCACCACAUACCAGAGGGGAUUUAGCUUGGUCUCAUGGAUCCAGCUGGAGAAGGAUCUGAUAUGUCUGUGGAUCGUGAACAGCAGAAAAUUAACUACAUGCAGGAGGUAUCGAGUUUGAGAAAAGAGUGCAGCAUUCACAGGAAGGUUAUCUUCAUACCAGCUCUUUCACUAGGAAGGUCAGAGGAAGAAGACUGCUUGUUCAAGCUAAUCAGGAAAUGUUCUAAUCAUCAAGAGGAAUAUCUGAAAUGUAAAGUGCACAGCAUACUUCAUGUGAUAGCAAACUGCAGCAUAUGGAUUGCAUUUAAUCAGAAGCAGUAUUCAUCUGCUAGACUCAAUGCCUGA